CGGGGAACCAGGGUGGUCGCUCAGGGGCUUAAAUCCUGGGAGGAAAGUCCGGGCUCCGACGAGUCAGGGUGCCGGGUAACACCCGGUGAAGGUAACUUCAAGGAGAGUGCCACAGAAAACACACCGCCCGAAAGGGUAAGGGUGAAAAGGUGAGGUAAGAGCUUCACCGCUUGAACCGUAAGGUUCAAGGCAUGGUAAACCCCACCCCGGAGCAAGACCAAAUAUGGAAGUAGGGAUGACUCUUCCCUGUGACUUCCGGGUAGGUCGCUCGAGCAAUGGGGCAACCCGUUGCCAAGAUGGAUGACCACCACUGAAGCCUCGCUUCAGUACAGAACCCGGCUUAUAUGGUUCCCCGGUUA
rnacentral:RNase_P_RNA from 1 species